AAUACGAUAGCUUAAUUGGUUAAAGCCGUUUGCUCAUAACAAACAAGUUGCAGGUUCGAAUCCUGCUCGUACUA